AUUGAACGCUGGCGGCAUGCCUAACACAUGCAAGUCGAACGAGUGGCGGACGGGUGAGUAAUGUAUCGGAACGUGCCUGGUGGAGGGGGCUAACUACUGGAAAGAGUGGCUAAUACCGCAUACUAUUGGAUCGGCCGCAAUGGGAUUAGCUAGUUGGUGGGGUAAAGGCUUACCAAGGCGACGCUCCCUAGCUGGUCUGAGAGGAGUACCAGCCACACUGGAACUGAGAAACGGUCCAGACGCCUACGGGAGGCAGCAGUGGGGAAUUUUGGAAAAGGGGGGAAAGCCUUGUCGAGCCAUGCCGGGUGUGUGAAGAAGGCCUUUGGGUUGUAAAAGACUUUUAGAGGGAAGACGGUAACCGCAGAAAAAGCAACGGCUAACUACCUGCCAGGAGCCGCGGUAAUAC
rnacentral:rRNA from 1 species